rnacentral:rRNA from 1 species
AGCUGGCGAGACUGUAACUGACGCUAAAGCUCGAAAGUGCGGGUAUCGAACAGGAUUAGAUACCCUGGUAGUCCGCACGGUAAACGAUGGAUGCCCGCUGUGUGCGAUAUAGUGUACGCGGCCAAGCGAAAGCGUUAAGCAUCCCACCUGGGGAGUACGCCGGCAACGGUGAAACUCAAAGGAAUUGACGGGGGCCCGCACAAGCGGAGGAACAUGUGGUUUAAUUCGAUGAUACGCGAGGAACCUUACCCGGGCUUGAACUGCAGAGGAAGGAUCUGGAGACAGUGACGCCCUUCGGGGCCUCUGUGGAGGUGCUGCAUGGUUGUCGUCAGCUCGUGCCGUGAGGUGUCGGCUUAAGUGCCAUAACGAGCGCAACCCCUGCGGUCAGUUGCCAUCAGGUAAAGCUGGGCACUCUGUCCGGACUGCCACCGUAAGGUGUGAGGAAGGUGGGGAUGACGUCAAAUCAGCACGGCCCGUACGGCCGGUGCUACACACGUGUUACAAUGGGUGGUACAGAGGGUCGGCCGCCGGCAACGUCGGUCAAAUCCUAAAAGCCAUCCUCAGUUCGGAUUGGGGUCUGCAACCCGACCCCAUGAAGCU